GCCUACGGCCAUACCACCCUGAGAACGCCCGAUCUCGUCUGAUCUCGGGAAGCUAAGCAGGGUCGGGCCCGGUUAGUACUUGGAUGGGAGACCGCCUGGGAAUACCGGGUGCUGUAGGCA
rnacentral:rRNA from 1 species